CGCGUAGGUGGCUAGAUAAGUCCGGUGUGAAAUCCUUCGGCUUAACCGGGGAAUGGCAUCGGGGACUGUAUAGCUAGAGGACGGGAGAGGAGAGCGGAAUUCCCGGUGUAGCGGUGAAAUGCGUAGAGAUCGGGAGGAAGGCCGGUGGCGAAGGCGGCUCUCUGGAACGUCCCUGACGCUGAGGCGCGAAAGCGUGGGGAGCAAACA
rnacentral:rRNA from 1 species